GCGGGGGCGGCGAAUCUUGCCUCCGGACCCCGCCGAGGCCGCGGAGCCGCAGGCGCGCCUCCGCGUCGCUGCCUCCAGGGAACCCCCAGGAGAGACCCGCGCGCUCCCGGCCUGUAGGAAGUCGCGGCCGGCGUGGAUGGCAGUUUUCCUGAGAGGUGUGUGCCUAGGAAAACACUCUUCUCUCUGGGGAGGAGAAGGAAGCGACGCCCCAGCCAAGGGCCGCCCUCGUCCGAGGUUCCGGGAGAGCCAAAGGCGGCCUUCAGAUCUGAGCAGCGGCGGGGCCACGGUGUGCCGGCCGCAUCCCAUCUGGCCAGGCGUGCAGCCGGUGACGGGGCUCCCGUCUCCAGCCCUCCCGGCCCUGGGCCGAAACCCUGCUGGGGAACUGCCAGGCGCGGGCGGCCGGCGGGGGCCGAGAGGCAGGCUUCCCGGUUGCUGGAAGUCAUCUUAAUUCUACAGAAGGGUCUACUCGGGACUCCUGCUCCCGGCGCAGGUCGCGGCGGGACCCUCGGAAGGGGGUUGUUUCAGACAGAGUUCACGCCAGCACAGUAAGGAUGGCAUGCUUGGUUGAAAAAUGGUCCCCCAAAGAUAUGUCUACAGCCCAUCCUUGGAACCCAUGACCAUGACCUUGUUUGCAAAAAGGACUUUGCAGCUGUGAUUAAGGAUCUUGAAUGAGGAGAUCACCCUGGAUUACCCAGGAGGGACCUUGAUGCCAUCCCACGUCCUUAUAAGAGAGAGGCAGAGGGAGAAUAGGCAGAUGCACUAAGAAGGUGAUGUGAAGAUGGAGGUGGAAACUGGAGUGAUGUGGCCACCAGCCCAGGAACGCCAAGAGCUGCCAGUAGCUACCAGAAGCUGCAAAAGGAAAGGAAAGACCCUUUCCCAGAACCUGGGGAGGGACACAGCCCUGCCGACUCCGUGAUCUCAGACUUCUGGCCUCCAGGACUGUGAGAGAAAACAUUUUGGUUGUUUUAAACCAUUCAGUUUGUUGUCGUAUGUUACAGCAGCUCUAGGAAACAGAGAUGACUAUGCCUCUAAUAUCACUCCAGGAAAGUGAUGAGAUUGUACUUGAUGUUACAGUGCCCAGCUCGUCCCUGCUCUGCAGAGGGGUGCCUUUUGCAGG